rnacentral:rRNA from 2 species
UUUGUAGUCAAGCAAUGAAAGGCGAAUGGUGGAUACCUAGGCACACAGAGGCGAAGAAGGACGUGGUGACCGACGAAACGCUCCGGGGAGCUGGAAGCAAGCAUAGAUCCGGAGAUGUCCGAAUGGGGCAACCCCAAGAACUGCCUGUUGAAUAUAUAGACAGGAAAGAGCCAACCCAGCGAAUUGAAACAUCUUAGUAGCUGGAGGAAGAGAAAUCAAAAGAGAUUCCCUAAGUAGUGGUGAGCGAAAGGGGAAAAGCCUAAACCAAAAAGCUUGCUUUUUGGGGUAGUGGGACAGCAACAAGGAAUCCUUAUGUUAGACGAAGCAGCGAAAAACUGUACCAGAGAAGGUGAGAGUCCUGUAGUCAAAAACAAAAAGAUACUAGCUGUAUCCCGAGUAGCAUGGGGCACGUGAAAUCCCAUGUGAAUCAGCGAGGACCAUCUCGUAAGGCUAAAUACUACUGUGUGACCGAUAGCGAAACAGUACCGCGAGGGAAAGGUGAAAAGAACCCCAAUGAGGGGAGUGAAAUAGAACAUGAAACCAUUCGCCCACAAGCAGUGGAAGUCCGAUUCAACGGAUGACCGCGUGCCUGUUGAAGAAUGAGCCGGCGAGUUAAAGGCACUGGUAGGUUAAGGUGAAAAACUGUAGCCAAAGCGAAAGCGAGUCUGAAGAGGGCGCGAAUCAGUGUUUUUAGACCCGAACCCGGGUGAUCUAACCAUGUCCAGGAUGAAGCUUGGGUAACACCAAGUGGAGGUCCGAACCGACCGAUGUUGAAAAAUCGGCGGAUGAGGUGUGGUUAGGGGUGAAAUGCCAAUCGAACCCGGAGCUAGCUGGUUCUCCCCGAAAUGUGUUGAGGCGCAGCGGUUGUGAUUAUAGUCUGGGGGUAAAGCACUGUUUCGGUGCGGGCGGCGAAAGCUGUACCAAAUCGAGACAAACUCAGAAUACCAGAUGUACACACAACCAGUGAGACGGUGGGGGAUAAGCUUCAUCGUCAAGAGGGAAACAGCCCAGACCACCAGCUAAGGUCCCCAAAUCAUCGCUAAGUGGCAAAGGAGGUGGGAGUGCACAGACAACCAGGAGGUUUGCCUAGAAGCAGCCACCCUUAAAAGAGUGCGUAAUAGCUCACUGGUCAAGCGCUCCUGCGCCGAAAAUGAACGGGACUAAGCGAUGUACCGAAGCUGUGGAUUUUAGUAAAAAGUUAUCAGUUAUCAGUUAUGAAUGAACCAAAAGUUUGUAAUAACUGUUAACUGGUAACUGAGAACUGAACUGGUAGGGGAGCGUUCCGUAUUAGGAAGAAGCACUAGCGGCGAGCAGGUGUGGACGAAACGGAAGUGAGAAUGUCGGCUUGAGUAGCGAAAAUAUUGGUGAGAAUCCAAUACCCCGAAACCCCAAGGGUUCCAGAGCCAGGUUCGUCCACUCUGGGUUAGUCGGGACCUAAGGCGAGGCGGAAACGCGUAGUCGAUGGACACAGGGUCAACAAUCCCUGACUAUUGAGUGGGAGCAUUUGCAGUGCGCAUGAAAGUAAGCUACGCCCUGACUGGAUUGGGAGACUUCUACGGAGGUCGUGUAGUUAUGUUAGUGCCAAGAAAAGCUGUGAAUGUGAUGAAAGCUCAGUACCCGUACCCGAAACCGACACAGGUGGGGGAGUAGAGAAUACUAAGGGGAGCGAGAUAACUCUCUCUAAGGAACUCGGCAAAAUAGCCCCGUAACUUCGGAAGAAGGGGUGCCCACGUGAGUGGGUUGCAGUGAAGAGGCCCAGGCGACUGUUUACCAAAAACACAGGUCUCCGCCAACUCGUAAGAGGAAGUAUGGGGGCUGACGCCUGCCCAGUGCCGGAAGGUUAAGGAAGCUGGUCAGCCGAAAGGUAAAGCUGGCGACCGAAGCCCCGGUGAACGGCGGCCGUAACUAUAACGGUCCUAAGGUAGCGAAAUUCCUUGUCGGGUAAGUUCCGACCCGCACGAAAGGCGUAACGAUCUGGGCACUGUCUCGGAGAGAGACUCGGCGAAAUAGGAGUGUCUGUGAAGAUACGGACUACCUGCACCUGGACAGAAAGACCCUAUGAAGCUUUACUGUAGCCUGGAAUUGGGUCCGGGCUUGGCUUGCGCAGGAUAGGUGGGAGGCAUUGAAGCAUUCCUUGUGGGGAGUGUGGAGCCAACAGUGAGAUACCACUCUGGCGAAGCUAGGAUUCUAACCCGUUUCCGUGAUCCGGAAAGGAGACAAUUUCAGGUGGGCAGUUUGACUGGGGCGGUCGCCUCCUAAAAGGUAACGGAGGCGCACAAAGGUUCCCUCAGCACGGUUGGAAAUCGUGCUUUGAGUGUAAAGGCAAUAAGGGAGCUUGACUGCAAGAGCAACAACUCGAGCAGGGUGGAAACACGGUCUUAGUGAUCCGACGGCACAGAAUGGAAUGGCCGUCGCUCAACGGAUAAAAGUUACUCUAGGGAUAACAGGCUGAUCUCCCCCAAGAGUCCACAUCGACGGGGAGGUUUGGCACCUCGAUGUCGGCUCAUCGCAACCUGGGGCGGAAGUACGUCCCAAGGGUUGGGCUGUUCGCCCAUUAAAGCGGUACGUGAGCUGGGUUCAGAACGUCGUGAGACAGUUCGGUCCAUAUCCGGUGCAGGCGUAAGAGUAUUGAGAGGAGCCCUCCUUAGUACGAGAGGACCGGGAGGGACGCACCGCUGGUGUACCAGUUAUCGUGCCAACGGUAAACGCUGGGUAGCCAUGUGCGGAGCGGAUAACCGCUGAAAGCAUCUAAGUGGGAAGCCCACCUCAAGAUGAGUACUCUCAUGGCAUUAGCCAGUAAGGUCACAGGCAGAACACCUGUUAAUAGGUGGGAGGUGUACACGCAGUAAUGUGUUCAGCCGACCCAUGCUAAUAGACCGAGGGCUUGACUUCAACA